AUUAACAAUAACAAACCCCCCCACACACACACACACAAAAAUAAAAAGUGGUAUUUCCUUUUGUACCUGGGGUGGGGUGGAGGAAUCUGCCUCAAAGCUCACAGAGAAUUCUUUCCCGUAUUUAAAUCUUAGAUCAAAUAACAUUAUUCAAAGACCCCCUCAGUAACAAAGGCAAGCCUCAGAAACUUGUGAAGAAGCAAAGUAUAAUAAUAACCACGUGCGUCGCAUUUCCAAUGAGAUGUUAUCAUCUUUGAUCGUUACCGCUGUGUGAGCUGAGGUAACUAUGGGCAAAGCUCAAAUCUUUUGUAUUGCCCCAUUGCUCAGGUUAGGAAACCCAAGAGCUGUUCCAAGUUGCUAGUAAGUAGCAGAGCCAGGUUUUCUCUUGUUUUGUUUUUUUAAAAUAUGUUCUUAUUUAUUUCUGAGAGAGGAAGGGAGAGGAAGAGACAGAAACAUCAACGAUGAGAGCAAAUCACCGAUAGGCUGCUUCCUACCCGUCCUCGCUCUGUGCCCCCCACCUGCCCCCUCCCCACUGGGGAUUGAGCCCACAACCUGAGCAUGUACCCUGACUGGGAAUUGAACUGUGACCUCCUGGUAUGGUAGAUGCUUAACCAUUGAGCCACACUGUCCAGGCCAGAGCCAGUCUUUUAUUUAUUUGUUUGUUUGUUUUUACUGCUUUUGACUAUUCCCUACUAUUUAGAACUGUGAUUACUCUAUGAUUACUUUAUUCCUACUCCCACUUAGGGAGAAGAAUCAAGGAGUCCCAAAAGAUUGCUUUGGUUUGUAGUUGUGGGAAGAGAGCCAGGAGAUUCUGGCCAGGAUUUCUGGACACAUCCCAUGUUGGAGGCAUGGAAAGCCACAAAGAAAACCAGCCAAGGUCUGUGCGCUAUGCAAGUCAGGUGUGCCGACCCUCUGGAGCACGCUUCCAGCCCUUUGACAAACGGAAUGGCAGCAAGGUAAGGAGCUCGGGCUUGAGGUCGAUAAGAGUGAAGCUUAUUUCCUGGCAGCUGUGGGGUCUUGGGCAUAAGCCUCAGUCUGCUGCCAAUGGCAAUACCAAACUGUAGGGUCGUCAUGAUGCUUAAAUAAGAUGAUAUACAUAAAAGACCAGCGCCAGUGUUCAACACACUCUGUUAUCAAUACAUGUAAGUUAUUUUUUCUAAUCAAAUAACAGGCACUAAAAUGGUACAUGAGAGGACUAAAUGAGGAAUGUAAUAAAUAAAUGCAAUGAGCUAAGAACAAUGUCUGGCACAGAGCAAUUGCUAUUUGCUAUUAAUUAUUGUUGUUAAUAUUUUUCUGUAUAAUAAUUUCUUAUGACUGCAGGGAGGUCACGGUAAACAAUCUACUUUUCAGGGGACAGGAGGUUCUGAUACUUAUUUCUCAUGAGAGCUGACAUUUUAGGUACCAUCUUAUAGUGUGACAAAGGAUAACAAUACCUUCUCAAUUGUUUUAUUUUCCCUCUGUCUCCCUCAUUUCUCCUAAUUUUACCUGAGACAG